rnacentral:rRNA from 1 species
CCCUACGGCGGGCAGCAGUGGGGGAUAUUGCACAAUGGGGGGAACCCUGAUGCAGCGACGCCGCGUGGGUGAAGAAGCGCCUCGGCGCGUAAAGCCCUGUCAGCAGGGAAGAAAAUGACGGUACCUGAAGAAGAAGCCCCGGCUAACUACGUGCCAGCAGCCGCGGUAAUACGUAGGGGGCAAGCGUUAUCCGGAUUUACUGGGUGUAAAGGGGGCGCAGACGGCGAUGCAAGCCAGGAGUGAAAGCCCGGGGCCCAACCCCGGGACUGCUCUUGGAACUGCGUGGCUGGAGUGCAGGAGGGGCA